rnacentral:rRNA from 1 species
UACGGGGGGGGCGAGCGUUGUUCGGAAUUACUGGGCGUAAAGGGUGCGUAGGCGGCGUGGCAAGUUGGGUGUGAAAUCCCUCGGCUCAACCGAGGAACUGCGCUCAAUACUGCCAUGCUCGAGGGAGACAGAGGUGAGCGGAACUUAGGGUGGAGCGGUGAAAUGCGUUGAUAUCCUAAGGAACACCGGUAGCGAAAGCGGCUCACUGGGUCUUUUCUGACGCUGAGGCACGAAAGCUAGGGUAGCGAACGGG